GCUUAGCCCCGAUAGCAGCGAAAAUCCUUUUGUUUUUUUUAAAAUAAAAGAUUGAAGCGAAUAGCGGGAAUAGCU
rnacentral:sRNA from 1 species